GCAGUCGAACGCCCCGCAAGGGGAGUGGCAGACGGGUGAGUAACGCGUGGGAACAUACCCUUUUCUACGGAAUAGCUCUGGGAAACUGGAAUUAAUACCGUAUACGCCCUACGGGGGAAAGAUUUAUCGGGGAAGGAUUGGCCCGCGUUGGAUUAGCUAGUUGGUGGGGUAAAGGCCUACCAAGGCGACGAUCCAUAGCUGGUCUGAGAGGAUGAUCAGCCACAUUGGGACUGAGACACGGCCCAAACUCCUACGGGAGGCAGCAGUGGGGAAUAUUGGACAAUGGGCGCAAGCCUGAUCCAGCCAUGCCGCGUGAGUGAUGAAGGCCUUAGGGUUGUAAAGCUCUUUCACCGAUGAAGAUAAUGACGGUAGUCGGAGAAGAAGCCCCGGCUAACUUCGUGCCAGCAGCCGCGGUAAUACGAAGGGGGCUAGCGUUGUUCGGAAUUACUGGGCGUAAAGCGCACGUAGGCGGAUAUUUAAGUCAGGGGUGAAAUCCCAGAGCUCAACUCUGGAACUGCCUUUGAUACUGGGUAUCUUGAGUAUGGAAGAGGUAAGUGGAAUUGCGAGUGUAGAGGUGAAAUUCGUAGAUAUUCGCAGGAACACCAGUGGCGAAGGCGGCUUACUGGUCCAUUACUGACGCUGAGGUGCGAAAGCGUGGGGAGCAAACAGGAUUAGA
rnacentral:rRNA from 1 species